rnacentral:rRNA from 1 species
UACGGGAGUGGCAAGCGUUAUCCGGAAUUAUUGGGCGUAAAGCGUCCGCAGGCGGUCUUGUAAGUCUGUUGUUAAAGCGUGGAGCUUAACUCCAUUUCAGCAAUGGAAACUGUAAGACUAGAGUGUGGUAGGGGCAGAGGGAAUUCCCGGUGUAGCGGUGAAAUGCGUAGAUAUCGGGAAGAACACCAGUGGCGAAGGCGCUCUGCUGGGCCAUAACUGACGCUCAUGGACGAAAGCCAGGGGAGCGAAAGGGAUUAGAUACCCCUGUAGUCUUGGCCGUAAACGAUGAACACUAGGUGUCGGGGGAAUCGACCCCCUCGGUGUCGUAGCCAACGCGUUAAGUGUUCCGCCUGGGGAGUACGCACGCAAGUGUGAAACUCAAAGGAAUUGACGGGGGCCCGCACAAGCGGUGGAGUAUGUGGUUUAAUUCGAUGCAACGCGAAGAACCUUACCAGGGUUUGACAUCCUGCGAAUCUCUUGGAAACGAGAGAGUGCCUUCGGGAACGCAGUGACAGGUGGUGCAUGGCUGUCGUCAGCUCGUGUCGUGAGAUGUUGGGUUAAGUCCCGCAACGAGCGCAACCCACGUCGUUAGUUGCCAGCAUUUAGUUGGGCACUCUAGCGAGACCGCCGGUGAUAAACCGGAGGAAGGUGUGGAUGACGUCAAGUCAUCAUGCCCCUUACAUCCUGGGCUACACACGUACUACAAUGCUACGGACAAAGGGCAGCAAACUCGCGAGAGCUAGCAAAUCCCAUAAACCGUGGCUCAGUUCAGAUCGUAGGCUGCAACUCGCCUACGUGAAGGAGGAAUCGCUAGUAAUCGCAGGUCAGCAUACUGCGGUGAAUACGUUCCCGGGCCU